UGGAACAUCCAUCAAAGACUGACAACCUCUUAUAAGGGUGACCAGUGUGACCUCAUGACGCUUCUGU
rnacentral:lncRNA from 1 species